rnacentral:rRNA from 1 species
AUGAUUAAUUUAAUGGCCGCGGUAUUUUGACCGUGCAAAGGUAGCAUAAUCAUUAGCCUAUUUAUUGUAGGAUUGUAUGAAUGGUUAGACGAAAUAUUGACUGUCUCAAUAGAAUUUAUAUAAUUUAAUUUUUGAGUUAAAAAGCUUAAAUUUUUUUAAAGGACGAGAAGACCCUAUAGAUCUUUAUUAUUUUUUUUUAUUAAUCUUUAGAUUUUUAAUAUUAUUAUUUUUUUUGUUGGGGUGACAUUUAGAUAUAACUAACUCUUUAUUAUUUUUUUUCAUUAAUUUAUGUUUAUUUGACCUUUUAUUAUUGUUAUAAGAAUAGAUACCUUAGGGAUAACAGCGUAAUUCUUUUUGAGAGUUCUUAUUGACGAAUGAGAUUGCGACCUCGAUGUUGAAUUAAGAUUAUUAUUUGGUGUAGUCGCUUAAUUAAUUGGUCUGUUCGACCAUUAAAUUCUUACAUGAUCUGAGUUCAAA